rnacentral:lncRNA from 1 species
UUCUCUUCUCCAGGGGAUCUUCUCAACCCAGGAAUCAAACCGAGGUCUUCUGUGUUGCAGACAGAUUCUUUACCAACUGAGCUAUCAGGGAAGCUUAGGUAAAAAACUCAAUCAUCUAAAUUAGAGAGAUCCCCAAAACCUUAUGUGCAUAUGAAUCACUUGGGGAUCUUGUUUAAAUGCAAAUUAUGUGAUUCUGUGGGGGCAGGGGGACAGUGGUUUGGGCAGGACUGAGAUUCCGCAUUUUUAACAAGCUGCUUGUUCCCAGACCUCUCAGUAGCUGGGCUCUAAAAUAUAACUUUUGUGAACACAUUCCCCUUAUUCGCUGCAGUAGUCUAUGUACAUAAACACAUGCUUUAUAUAUAUCUUUAUAUUCCUGCUUUCUAAAACAUUAAUUGAGAAAUAGGCCAUUGUUACAGAAACCACAAUGCACUUCAUGAAAAAACAUUGGGUACAAAGGCAAAACAGUGACAAAUUGAUACUUUUCUUGCUUGGUCACGCCUGAUUUAAGGAAACGAACCCCAAAUAGGCUGUGUGAAUUGGAAAUUGACUUCAACCACAUUUAAAUUGUUGUCUUUUAAAAUAUUAGCAGUUGAGUGUGUAAACCAAUAUUUAUUUUCUAAUCAAAGGUUUGUGGCAAAUGGUUUAUAAAUGAAAGAAAUGAGGGAAGAAUGCUUUGAAAUGUUUCUCAUAAUAGAAAUGGAAAUAGGAUAUUUUAUUUCUUUAAAUGGCAGGCACAGGCUUCAGCUAAAAUUCAUCCUGCUCUGGAAAGAGGAAAUUAUAUGAAAAACUGAUCAUAGUAUAAAAGCCCAGACCAGCACCUCUCUGCCAACGAUCAUAAUAAAUAUCUUUCAGCGGAAAAAAAGUUGAAGAUCCAGCUACAUUAAGGAAGAAUCUAUUAACAGAAUAAUUGUAUACUGAGGAUCCCUUUAAGAAACACUUCCAAAAUUCCAUUAUCUUAACUGUCACUCGCACUUUGAGUUGUCUCAACACUGUGUGUUUUCAUGAAUUACCAGAGCUGUUUGUUUUUUCCUUUAUCAGUCAUCACCCUGUCAGCCGGGCCAUUCAUAACGACUUUUGGCAGCUCAUCAGGAGAGUUCAGAGCUUGAAUAGGACCCUAUCAACUCUCACACCUCAUUGUGUGAAACUGUUUACCAGCAUUGCCUUUUUCUGUAAAUAUUACAAGCAGAGCCCUGAGAAGUGGAGAUGCGUGAAAACAAAAUGGACAAAUCUUGUAGCGUGUAUUAUCACCCUGGAUGUGUUGAGUUCCCUGCUGUCUUUUCUGCUUGACUGGUAACAAGGUGGCCCACAUGAACACCAACAGCAAAUGGACUGACUCAAGUCUCCUGGUCUUAACAGCCUGAAGUUCUGCCAGAUUCACCCAUCAGAAAUAAUUUCCUCUUGAAAACGAAUGUCAGUAAUUCUCUAUGGAAGCUAAUAUCACCAACUUGCAAAUGGGUAUGAUUUUUGUUGUUGUUGUUGUUCUCUAUUUUUACUAAAGUUAUAUAUACACAGAUUUUUGAAGGGUCAAGUAGUUCCAGGUUUUGUGAUUAAAAAAUAAAAAAAAAUUAAGCCUUCUCCCCA